rnacentral:rRNA from 1 species
GACGAACGCUGGCGGCGUGCUUAACACAUGCAAGUCGAACGGAAAGGCCCUGCUUUUGUGGGGUGCUCGAGUGGCGAACGGGUGAGUAACACGUGAGUAACCUGCCCUUUACUUUGGGAUAACUUCAGGAAACUGGGGCUAAUACCGGAUAGGAGCUCCUGCUGCAUGGUGGGGGUUGGAAAGUUUCGGCGGUUGGGGAUGGACUCGCGGCUUAUCAGCUUGUUGGUUGGGUAGUGGCUUACCAAGGCUUUGGCGGGUAGCCGGCCUGAGAGGGUGACCGGCCACAUUGGGACUGAGAUACGGACCAGACUCCUACGGGAGGCAGUAGUGGGGAAUAUUGCACAAUGGGCGGAAGCCUGAUGCAGAAACGCCGCGUGCGGGAUGACGGCCUUCGGGUUGUAAACCGCUUUCGCCUGUGACGAAGCGUGAGUGACGGUAAUGGGUAAAGAAGCACCGGCUAACUACGUG